UCCCCCUCCUCGCCAUUAUGUAAGUUUUAUAGGCUAUAAAAUGUAAUUGUAGAACGUCAACAAAGUUACAGCUUUUGGCCGAGGACUCCCGGUAUCCCCAAUAGGAAGAUUGUUUUUAUUUGUGCAUGUACUACGGCAAUUAAUCUCUUUAAUGACGUCCUCAAUCAUAAACUACGGUGAUUUAUGGACUCAAAAACAAUGUAGUAUAUG
rnacentral:lncRNA from 1 species